UUGCCCAACGUAGGGCUUGAACUCACAACCCUUAAUUAAGGGUCAUGUGCUCUACCGGCUGGCUAGCCAGGUGCCCCCUUCUAUGCAUCAAACCUAGAGAGUUCCUCUGAAGAAUCAGGUAGAAGCCAACACACUGAGACUUUUAACUUCUCUUCCCUAUCAGAUCCUUCUGGAAAUAUAUGGGAAUGGAACGGAUGAGCUACAGGAAAGGUUCUCCACAUGAAAGCACUUACUCGGCAGAGGCCCCAUUGCCUAAAACACUUAGUCUAGAUAAAAGAACAGACAACGAGCAUAUAUCUGCAAGUUUUAGAUGAUGGAACUUUAAGAUAAUGAGUUCUGCUUCAGAUAGCACAGGGUGAAAUAAAAUCACAGAAGAUGAUUUGCAAACACUGACUGCCAAGCCUGGGGGUUAAUUGCAUGGAUGGGAAUGGAGGCCCUGGGACAGAAUAGGUUGGACUGCACUGGCUGCUGGAUGCCCAGGUAGAGGUCUCAAGGAAGAGAACAGCUAGUCCAUCAGGAGCAUGUCCUAAGCGAAGCCCAUGAAUCAUCUGUAGCUCUACAGUUACAUAAAAUAAAACAUUAGAUAUAACAUCUGUUCUGUUAGGAUGGUGAGGGGGUGAGUACAAACCAGGA